AGCUCCAAUAGCGUAUAUUAAAGUUGUUGCGGUAAAAAAGCUCGUAGUUGGAUUUCUGUUGAGGGCAACCGGUCCGCUCCAUGAGCGCGCAUCUGGUAUGGCCUCGGCAUCCUCUCCAAGAACGGUCCUGCGCUUGGUUGCGUGGGUCGGAUUUGGGGACUUUUACUUUGAGGAAAUUAGAGUGUUCACGGCAGGCUUUCGCCAGAAUACAUUAGCAUGGAAUAAUACUAUAGGAUCUUGAUUCUAUUUUGUUGGUUUCUAGAAUCUGGAUAAUGAUUAAUAGGGACAAUUGGGGGCAUUCGUAUCAACACGUCAGAGGUGGAAUUCUUGGAUUGUGUUGCGACGAACUACUGCGAAAGCAUUUGCCAAGGAUGUUUUCA
rnacentral:rRNA from 1 species